rnacentral:rRNA from 1 species
GAGUUUGAUCAUGGCUCAGAUUGAACGCUGGCGGCAUGCCUAACACAUGCAAGUCGAGCGGCAGCGCGGGGGCAACCUUGGCGGCGAGCGGCGGACGGGUGAGUAAGGCAUCGGAAUCUGCCCUGAUGUGGGGGAUAACGUAGGGAAACUUACGCUAAUACCGCAUACGACCGAGAGGUGAAAGCGGGGGACCGAAAGGCCUCGCGCAGCAGGAUGAGCCGAUGUCCGAUUAGCUGGUUGGUGGGGUAAUGGCCUACCAAGGCGACGAUCGGUAGCUGGUCUGAGAGGAUGAUCAGCCACACUGGGACUGAGACACGGCCCAGACUCCUACGGGAGGCAGCAGUGGGGAAUAUUGGAUAAUGGGGGCAACCCUGAUCCAGCAAUGCCGCGUGUGUGAAGAAGGCCUUCGGGUUGUAAAGCACUUUUAUCGGGAGCGAAACGCGCCGGGUUAAUACCUUGGCGAACUGACGGUACCCGAGGAAUAAGCACCGGCUAACUCCGUGCCAGCAGCCGCGGUAAUACGGAGGGCGCAAGCGUUAAUCGGAAUUACUGGGCGUAAA